rnacentral:rRNA from 1 species
GUAUCGGCUUGGCGGACGGGUGAGUAACACAUUGGUAACCUACCUCUAGGUCGGGGAUAAUCCAGAGAAAUUUGGAAUAAUACCCGAUAUGCUCCACAAACUUAUGUUUGUGGUGUAAAGUUCCGCCUGCCUACCGGCAGGCAGGGCGCCUAGAGAGGGGCCUAUGGCUGAUUAGUUUGUUGGUGGGGUAAGAGCCCACCAAGGCUAUGAUCAGUAGCGGGGAUGAGAGUCCGACCCGCCUCACUGGGACUGAGACACUGCCCAGACUCCUACGGGAGGCUUCAGUUAGGAAUCUUCCUCAAUGGCCGCAAGGCUGAAGGAGCGACGCCGCGUGCUUGAAGAAGUCCCUCGGGAUGUAAAGAGCUUUUAUAUGGGAAGAAGUCCCUUCGGGGAUUGACGGUACCAUGUGAAUAAGGGGUGGCUAAAUUCGUGCCAGAAGCCUCGGUAAUACGAAUGCCCCAAGCGUUAUCCGGAUUUACUGGGCGUAAAGCGUCCGCAGGCGGUAAGGUGUGUUUCCGGUGAAACUUCGAGGCUCAACUUCGAAUGGGCCGGAAAAACUGCCUUACUAGAGACUGGGAGAGGUCAGUGGAAUGGCUGGUGUAGGGGUUAAAUCCGUUAAUAUCAGCUAGAACACCAAAGGCGAAAGCAGCUGACUGGGACAGUUCUGACGCUCAGGGACGAAAGCGUGGGGAGCGAACGGGAUUAGAUACCCCGGUAGUCCACGCCGUAAACGAUGGAUACUUGGUAUUGGAAGUGUCGACCCUUCCAGUGCCGCCUCUAAACAAGCUAACGCCUUAAGUAUCCCGCCUGGGGAGUACGAGCGCAAGCUUAAAACUCAAAGGAAUAGACGGGGACCUGCACAAGUGGUGGAACAGGUGGUUUAAUUCGACUCUAAGCGGGGAACCUUACCAAGGCUUGACAUUUAGCCGUAUGUUUUUCUGGAAACAGAAAAUCCUUCAGGCUAGACAGAUGCUGCAUGGUCGUCGUCAGCAUGUGCUGUGAAGUGCACCGUUAACUCGGGUAACAUGCGCAACCCUCAUGCUAUGUUAAAUUGUACAUAGCAAACUGCUCUUGUUAAAAGAGAGGAAGGCGGGGAUGACGUCAGAUCAGCAUGGCUCUUACGCCUUGGGCCACACACCUGUUACAAUGGCUAGGACAAAGGGACGUUAAGCGGUAACGUGGAGCUAAUCCCAUCAAACCUGGUCUCAGUUCGGAUUGAGGGCUGCAACUCGCCCUCAUGAAGUAGGAAUCACUAGUAACCGUGGAUCAGUCUCGCCACGGUGAAUACGUUCUCGGGUCUUGUACUCACUGCCCGUCACAUCAAGGGAGUUGGCAAUAUCCAAACAUCGGUGUUGAUCGGUGGAAGGUAGGGCCAGCAACAAGGAUGAAGUCGUAACAAGGCA